rnacentral:rRNA from 1 species
UGCAAGUCGAGCGGUCCGACGCAAGUCGGGCAGCGGCGAACGGGUGAGUAACACGUUGGAACCUGCCCCGAACUCAGGGAUACCCCGCCGAAAGGCGGGCUAAUACCGGAUGGUCCCGCAAGGGUAAAGCUUUUGCGGUUCGGGAGGGGCCUGCGUCCUAUCAGCUAGUUGGUAAGGUAACGGCUUACCAAGGCUACGACGGGUAGCUGGUGUGAGAGCAUGACCAGCCACAAUGGAACUGCGACACGGUCCAUACUCCUACGGGAGGCAGCAGUAAGGAAUAUUCCGCAAUGGGCGAAAGCCUGACGGAGCGACACCGCGUGGAGGAUGAAAGCCUUUUGGUUGUAAACUCCUUUUCUGGGGGAAUAAAUGAUGAAGGUACCCCAGGAAUAAGCACCGGCUAACUACGUGCCAGCAGCCGCGGUAAUACGUAGGGUGCAAGCGUUAUCCGGAAUCAUUGGGCGUAAAGCGUUUGUAGGUGGUUUUGUAAGUCUGCGGUUAAAUCCGGUCGCUCAACGAUCGAAUCGUCGCAGAAACUGUGAAACUGGAGGACGGCAGAGGCAACUGGAAUUCCGCAUGUAGGGGUAAAAUCCGUUGAUAUGCGGAGGAACACCAAAAGCGAAGGCAGGUUGCUGGGCCGUUCCUGACACUCAAAAACGAAAGCGUGGGGAGCAAACAGGAUUAGAUACCCUGGUAGUCCACGCCCUAAACGAUGGAUACUCGGUGUAAGGAGGAUUCGACCCCUCUUUGUGCCUAAGCUAACGCGUUAAGUAUCCCGCCUGGGGAGUACGGUCGCAAGAUUAAAACUCAAAGGAAUAGACGGGGACCCACACAAGCGGUGGAACAUGUGGUUCAAUUCGACAAUAAACGGGGAACCUCACCAAGGUUUGACAUCCCGGGAAUCUUGACGAAAGUCAGGAGUGC